rnacentral:rRNA from 2 species
AACGUAGGGGGCCAGCGUUGUCCGGAAUUACUGGGCGUAAAGAGCGCGUAGGCGGUUUGGUUAGCGGAGGGUGCAAUCCAGAGGCUCAACCUCUGAACUGCUCUCCGAACUGCCAGACUUGAGUGCGGGAGAGGGUAGUGGAAUUCCUGGUGUAGCGGUGGAAUGCGUAAAUAUCAGGAGGAACACCCGUGGCGAAGGCUGCUACCUGGAACGUAACUGACGCUGAGGCGCGAAAGCUAGGGGAGCGAACGGG